rnacentral:rRNA from 1 species
AACGAACGCUGGCGGCAGGCCUAACACAUGCAAGUCGAACGCCCCGCAAGGGGAGUGGCGCACGGGUGAGUAACGCGUGGGAACCUGUCCCGCGGUACGGCACAACCCAGGGAAACUUGGGCUAAUACCGUAUACGCACUAUGGUGGAAAGAAUUUCGCCGUGGGAGGGGCCCGCGUAGGAUUAGCUAGUUGGCGGGGUAACGGCCCACCAAGGCAUCGAUCCUUAGCUGGUCUGAGAGGAUGAUCAGCCACACUGGGACUGAGACACGGCCCAGACUCCUACGGGAGGCAGCAGUGGGGAAUAUUGGACAAUGGGCGCAAGCCUGAUCCAGCCAUGCCGCGUGAGUGAUGAAGGCCUUAGGGUUGUAAAGCUCUUUCGCCGGGGAAGAUAAUGACGGUACCCGGAGAAGAAGCCUCGGCUAACUCCGUGCCAGCCGCCGCCGUAAUAC